CUGUAAAGCACAUGAAGCUGUCAAAAUUUACAAUAAUUACAGUAAUAAGGUGAUUUUUCUUUCCUUAAUAAGGGGCCGUUUACACAACACAGUUUUCAACGUAAAACUUUUUGUGCGUUUAUUUACACGACAACGGCAUUUUGGGGGCCUGAAAAAACAAACUUUUGAAAACAGCUUUCAAAGUGCAAGUUUUUGAAAACAAUACUAUUAUUGUCUCCAUGUAAACUACAAAAACGUGAAUUUUUGAAAAUGGUAACGUCAUGCGCAUGUGUAUUACAUGUUCAGUCUAUAGGCGCCUAGUGUUUCUUUACAAUAUGACAUCGCCAACUACUGGUCUGGCAUGAAUACAGUGUUUUUAGUUGUUUUCGUGAAUCCGUGUGAGAUCAUUUUGACAGUGUUGUCGUUUGUAAAUGAAAAUGCAAAGGAAAAAUCUUGUCAUGUUUAAUAAGAGACGCUGAGCAUAGGUGCUCUGUAAAUAUGCAGGUGUUCAAUAAACGUGCAUGAAUGAGUGUGUGCACUAACUCCCAAUAAUCUAUGAUGUUGUAAUUGCCCUUUAAACCAUCAGCUGUUCAGGAGGGAACCCCCGUUUAGAGAUAGAUAUAAUCACACCACACCACUGCUUGAUGAAUCGAAUGGUGGAUAUGAACUAUGAGCUGUAUAUAAAAUAAAUAAUGAUUGCUGUGACUGCAGUAAAAGAAGAAGGCGUCAGGCUUGGAAUCUGUACCAUGUACUCAGAUAACAAACUCCAUAGGUUAUGUAAGAGAAAUACCAAUGAGGAAAGUCACGUGCUGCUCUUUUGGUUACUUGUUAUUUCCGUCAAAUGGAUUUGCAGUGUAUUUCAAAGGCUUAAUUCGUAAAAUUCAUACAUUUCUCCAUAUAAAGUGGAUACAUAUUUUACUACAUGUGGAGUAGAUGGAUGUCUGGAAAUUCACAUUGUCAAGUCUUCUUUUCACCAUGCUGAGCCCAGGGACAAAAAGGGCAACACAUGCUGCAAUUUCUCCUGGUUGUGUCCAACUCUCAUUGCUUGGAAACUUAAGUGUGUGGUAAACUGUGAUGGUCGAGAUGGACAAGUGGUGUCAUUUCCCAAUCCUUUCCAUUUCAUCAGUCAACCAACUGUUUCUGUUCAAUGCUUGGAGAAUCCAGAGGGUGAAGAUGGAAUAGUGGUGUCUGAUAAUAAAUCAUUUCCCAUUCAUUUCCAGUACAACAUUCAACCAAAGGUUUCUGUUCAAUGCCUGGAUAAUCCAGGGGGUGAAGAUGGAGUAACAGUGAUUGGCCAUGAAUCAUUUCCAAGGCUCUUGUCACAUCUCUCAAGUAGACAACCUUGAUAAAGAUGCUGAUGUUCAGUAAUUAUUCAUUUACAUAUACUUGUAAAAAGUGUAUAAAUGUAUAUGUAAUUGAAAAUGUAAAAAUGUAUAUUGUUUUAUAAUAUCAAUUAAAUGCAAUUACCCUGCCUC